rnacentral:rRNA from 1 species
GACAGAGGGGGCAAGCGUUGCUCGGAAUCACUGGGCGUAAAGGGUGCGUAGGCGGCGCGGUAAGUCGGGUGUGAAAUCUUGGAGCUUAACUCCGAAACUGCAUUCGAUACUGCCGUGCUUGAGGACUGGAGAGGAGACUGGAAUUUACGGUGUAGCGGUGAAAUGCGUAGAUAUCGUAAGGAAGACCAGUGGCGAAGGCGGGUCUCUGGACAGUUCCUGACGCUGAGGCACGAAGGCCAGGGGAGCAAACGGG